rnacentral:rRNA from 1 species
CGCGUAGGCGGACAGUUAAGUCGGGGGUGAAAUCCCGGGGCUCAACCCCGGAACUGCCUUCGAUACUGGCUGUCUGGAGGACGGGAGAGGCGAGUGGAAUUCCGAGUGUAGAGGUGAAAUUCGUAGAUAUUCGGAGGAACACCCGUGGCGAAGGCGGCUCGCUGGCCCGUUACUGACGCUGAGGCGCGAAAGCGUGGGGAGCAAACA